rnacentral:misc_RNA from 1 species
UCACCCCUCAAGCCUCUCGGCUUGGUGUUGGACGGUUUGGCGGAGACUUACGUCUCUGCCCCUCCCAAAGACAAUGACGGCGGCCUCGUUGGACCCCCGGUACACUGAGUUCUUCACGGGACACGUACUGGAUACAAGGGUGCGCGGGGCCCGGUCUAACCUCCCCUUGGGGAGAAUAUUUUUCAA